UACGUAGGGUGCGAGCGUUGUCCGGAAUUAUUGGGCGUAAAGGGCUCGUAGGCGGUCUGUCGCGUCGGGAGUGAAAACUCAGGGCUUAACCCUGAGCCUGCUUCCGAUACGGGCAGACUAGAGGUAUGCAGGGGAGAACGGAAUUCCUGGUGUAGCGGUGGAAUGCGCAGAUAUCAGGAGGAACACCGGUGGCGAAGGCGGGUCUCUGGGCAACAACUGACGCUGAGGAGCGAAAGCGUGGGGAGCAAACAGG
rnacentral:rRNA from 1 species